AUCGAACGCUGGCGGCAGGCUUAACACAUGCAAGUCGAGCGGGGGGAGGUAGCUUGCUACCUAACCUAGCGGCGGACGGGUGAGUAAUGCUUAGGAAUCUGCCUAUUAGUGGGGGACAACGUUUCGAAAGGGAUGCUAAUACCGCAUACGCCCUAAGGGGGAAAGCAGGGGAUCUUCGGACCUUGCGCUAAUAGAUGAGCCUAAGUCGGAUUAGCUAGUUGUGGGGGUAAAGGCCUACCAAGGCGACGAUCUGUAGCGGGUCUGAGAGGAUGAUCCGCCACACUGGGACUGAGACACGGCCCAGACUCCUACGGGAGGCAGCAGUGGGGAAUAUUGGACAAUGGGGGGAACCCUGAUCCAGCCAUGCCGCGUGUGUGAAGAAGGCCUUUUGGUUGUAAAGCACUUUAAGCGAGGAGGAGGCUACCGAGAUUAAUACUCUUGGAUAGUGGACGUUACUCGCAGAAUAAGCACCGGCUAACUCUGUGCCAGCCGCCGCAGUAAUAC
rnacentral:rRNA from 1 species